AUACGGAGGGUGCAAGCGUUGUCCGGAUUUAUUGGGUUUAAAGGGUGCGUAGGUGGUUUUUUAAGUCAGUGGUGAAAGCCUACAGCUUAACUGUAGAGGUGCCAUUGAUACUGGGGAACUUGAGUAUGGACGAGGUAGGCGGAAUUUGUGGUGUAGCGGUGAAAUGCAUAGAUACCACAAGGAACACCGAUAGCGAAGGCAGCUUACUGGGCCAUAACUGACACUGUGGCACGAAAGCGUGGGGAGCGAACAGGAUUAGAUACCCUAGUAGUCC
rnacentral:rRNA from 1 species